CUCUGUCUCAAACACAAAAACAAAAAAUCAAAAAAGGGUAGCAGACUGCUGAAGGCUGGUUUGCAUUGACAUGCAGUUACCCUGAGUCUCUUGCUGGGCAGGUGUGUUCACGCUGCCUUCACUUGCUGUGGGUUCACGACCCAGGGGGUGGCGGGCUUAGGCCCUAUCGGCUGGGAGCCAGACCCCCAUUCUGACUGGGAGCCGUUGGAAUGGGAGCUGUAGGAGGUGGAGAGGUUCUCCCUGGGCCCUCAGCUUGAAGCAGGGCCUCAUGCCCUGGCACCCCAGGCCAUGCCCCCUUGGUGCUGGGCAUCCUGCCGCUGUUAUUCCUUCUUACCCGUUGUCAGGGGCACAGCGUCAGGUAUUCAGAUCCCCUGGGACCACUGGUCCCUUCACUAGUGACGUAUUUCAUCAUCAGUUUAGAGAGUUUGGCAUGCUUAGGAGAGUUCUAGGUGUUAGCUUUCUGGGUGUACAGAGCAGCUCUAAGCUGGCAAUAAGGACAGGUUGCCCUUGCCAUCAAAGAGAAGAGGGCUGGGCCCUCCAUGAUUUAACCUGAGGCUCUUCAAACAUCCAUUCUGCUUCCAUGCAUGGCUUCUGCCCCGGCACCCUGAAACGACAGAAAAAAACAAUCCGAUUCCAGAAAAUUCAGAGGCAAAUGGAGGCACCUGGUGCCCCACCCAGAAUCCUGGGAAGCUGUGGAGCAGAUCCGAUAUUUAUAUGAGGAAUUUCCAGAGUCCUGACCAGUUCCCAGGUUGGCUGAAGGCUUUGAUGUCAGCACUGAUGUGAUCCAAAGAGUUUUAAAUGGCAAGUUUGUACCCACAUUGGAGCAGACACUGAAGCAGGAUCAAAAAGUCCUUAAGAAAGCUGGGCUUGCCUAUUCGCUCCAGCAGCUCCCGGGCUCUGGAAAUAUGUCAAAGCCGCUCCCUGCAGGCCACUCUGUAUCAGGCUCUUUGCUUAUGCCCAGGCAUGAAGCCUCAUCCAAAGACCCUAAUCACAGCACAGCUUUGAAAAAAGUGAUAGAGUCAGACCCUCACAGGACAAAUACACCAAGGAGAUGGAAGGGAAGAAAUAAAGAAAUCCAGGACCUGGAGGAGAGGGUGUGCCUGUUGCUGCACCCCUAGGUCAUCAGCGAGAGCUGCAGAAGUUCUCCAGUGAUGCUGGGAGCACCAGAAGAACCGGCGAUGCUGCGUUGCCAAGUGAGCAGAAGCUGGAGGAGUUGGAGGCAGAGGAACCAGGUAACUUCAGCAGCCAAGUAGCGCAGAGGGGCCGAGAGUUCUUUGACAGCAACGGGAACUUCCUGUACGGAAUCUGAGUCUGGGAUUGGCUUGUGGAGAUGCCUCGUGAAACACAGCUGGGCGAGUAUUAAUAUAUAUGGAGCAGCCUGGAUUUCUGCAUAUGGAUGAGUCCCCUUGGAACAGGAAGAAGUGAUGAGCCUGGACCGUGGGAGGAAAGAGCGGCGUGGGUAGCUUCAGACUUCCUGGAGCAGUGCUCCCAGUCUGACCUCUGUAGAUCUGCGGCACUCACUCUUCUUGCUUGGGCUCUCUGUAUGUUGAAAACCAGCCCGUGUUGCAUGUGUUGUUACAAUUUUUCGUGAUACUUGCAAUAUAUGUUUGAGAGGAAGUGAAAAGUUUGUCUUCCGAGCUCGUUUCCUUCUUGAUCGGUGAACACUAACAGUUUUGGGACAACUUAGUUGAUUGGUUUUCCUUACAAGCGAAAUAAAGGAAAAUGUAGCAGUC